UGAUGUCAAAAGGUCAAAAGAUGAUCAUGAGUAAUGCUGAAAGUGUGACAUGUGUCGCUCCCCGGAUUUCCCGAAUCCAAGUACAAACGCGAAAAAGAGGUGGCGUGGAGAAAGAGUAGAGUCGCCAGCUAUGUACUUUUAUCCCAAGAGGAGGGAAAGGUAGUACUGCAUAACCAAAGAGGGAACGGAUAAAACAAAGUCUCGAACCAAAGAAAACUGAGUAAGGGGGCCGGUUACGUGAAGGGAAGGUUAUCGCACCCCUUCACGUCUGUG
rnacentral:lncRNA from 1 species